AUUUGGCCCUCCACCUCCAGGUCGCCAGCUUCUUUCUCUUCUGCUCCGUGACGCUUCCUCUUCUUUCUUCUCUUGGUUUGCUCCGUCGCUUCCUUUGCCCCUUCCUGCUCCAUUGUUUCCUCGCACAAACCUCGAACGCAUUGCGAACUCCUGCAAUUUCUGGCCCUAGCUCUGAUUCGCGGCGUCGGCCACCCUGCCCGUCGCGUUCGGUGGGGGGGGGCCCUGCUGCUCCUCUGCCGUUCGCGGGGGGUGGGGGUUGGGGGUCUGCUGCUCCUUUGCUGUUCGCUUGGGUUGAGAGUGGGGUCUGCUGUUGGCGCUCCGGAGUGGGAAUCUUGUCUCACGGUGGUUUUCGAGCUCUGCAUCUUCCGCUCACUGCUCCUUCCUCCGGCACUGUUUUCGUCACUACAGUAACAGUUUCAGUAGUUGUCUGCACGCAUCAACGCCAUGGAUAGAGAUACUGAGGGUUCCUCAGUGAGUACAUGUAUGUACUUCCAUAUAUUAUGUCACUUCUAUAUCCACACAUUUUUGUGAUACUUUUAUUUAACUCAAUUUUGUUUUUUUUUUGUGCAACUGUUGUGUAUGCUUGCUCACUACUGUUUUAGCACAUACGUCAGAGGCUGAAAUAGGACCCUCCCUUCCGCAGUCUCCUUAUCUGAGACAUGCUUAGUCCUCCUGGCUAAAAUUUCAUAGUUUCACCGUUUAUCUUUGCACCGUCUCUCUCAGAUCUUGGAGCCUUCAAUAUUCCUGCUAAUCAUAACUCAAGUGACUACAAAUCAGAAUCAACCAGGUGCCCACAAAUCAGGUAUUGUAACGACACAACUACGAUAACACUUAUCAAGAUGAAUGCCCACCUCUAUAAAAAUCUCACAGUAAUUAACGACUCGGAGAUUCAAUCCAUCACUGCGCACAUAGAAGAAAGAGCAGUGAUUGCAAGGCUUCCACAACCAGCAAGAGAGAUCAUAGGUCACAAAGACUUAAAGGAUGUAAUCCUGGAAGAACUCCAGAUUAAUAUCAAGGUAGAAGAUAUCUCACAGUACAACUCAGAUUACAUUAUCAUGCUAGACUCAUCCAGUACAAAAAGCAUCAUGCUUAACAGAGGAUUUCUCAAGGUUGGUACCUUUAUACAUCCACUGAUCCCAUGGGACACAAGUUAUGGUUCAACAGUUGUUCCUCUUCAGACCCAUAUUACAAAUGCUCAGCACCUAAAUCCCCAUUCACUCAUAGCAUCCAACAGUGAACACCUAACCAUUUAUAUCUCUGGGCUUCCACCUCAUCUCUGUUGUGAGUUCAUAGUACGCCACCUCCUUAGGAAAAUAUGCACUAUCCAUAAAAUAGCAUUCACACCAGCAAACCUCAGUGGAUGCUUACGGAUCAGAGAUAUCUAUACUGGAGAUUGCACAUAUAGAUGUCAAAAAAGGAACACAUAAUGGCGGUAUUAUCAGCAUUUGGCCAUUAUGGUAUGAAGUCAUUACAGAGGACAUGCGUGCCAACCAAGAUGACCUAUACUAUUUAGAAAACACUGACAACUUUUGAGGAGACUCUGAUCUUGACAGUGAGCACCAUAAAGAGGUCCAAAAACAGUACUAUGACCUUCAAGGUACCUUAAGCACCAGACAACACAGCAUAUUUUGCCAGCAGGCUUGAAGCAAUCAAGAGCCAUAUUCUGCCAGUCUGGACCAGAGAUAUACAUAAUAUUAUUACUAAUGUAUAAUGCUUGCAUCCUGUACAUACAUGCAUAUGUCAUAUUUUUGUUUAUGUAAUAUCGUUGCCUACUCAGAACAAGAACCUAUCCAAUACUUAAUGCAUCCAUCCUGUAAAUACCUACAGAUGUAAUAUGUUUUUAUGCAUCUAGCAUAUAUAAAUAUCCACUCUGUUAAGAAC